rnacentral:snRNA from 1 species
GUGCUUGCUUCAGCAGCACAUAUAUGAAAAUUGGAACAAUAGAGAGAAGAUUAGCAUGGGCCCUGUGUAAGGAUGACAUGCAAAUUCAUGAAGCAUUCCAUAUUUUU